rnacentral:lncRNA from 1 species
CUCUUAGCUCCCCAGUUGUCCACCAUGGCCUUGGCUGUUCCAGGUUUUAUUGCUCCAAAGUCUGUGAGAGUAUGAUUUUCUUGGUGGAAAUUUACUAAAAUCAGCUCUUUUCAUACUACAGAAACAAAGGACACACUCAAAAUCAAAAUCCUUGCUAAAAUGCUAGUCAUCCUGAAAUGCAUGUCCACACCCGUGUGUGUCGAAAUGUGCCCUCGGAAGAGGAUGGGCUUCGGAAUCCAGCUUUUCUGAAACUCACUCGCUGUCCCCAGGAUGGAAAGAUUUCCUUCUGGACGCUGUUGGGAAACUCAAACACGCGCCAGCUGUCAGACGGAGCGGAGCGGGAAACUUGGGCAUCGCUAUUCCAGGCAACUUCCCGGAGAAGGUCCAAUAAAUAG